rnacentral:misc_RNA from 1 species
CCGCCUCCAGCGACCCGAGAUCCCGCUGCAAUCCGAGCGCUUCGGCAGAAACGGCCGUCGCUGAUCGGAGGGCUUCCAUGGGCGUCAGGCCUCCCGACUGCAUCGCCCAGAUCUCCCAAUGGGCGCCGAGUCCCUGCCGGUUGCCGUGCGACCCCAACGCCACCUUCCCACCACCGUGGACGAUCGCGGCAAGCGACUUCGCGGCUUCGCGGAACGUCCACUCCGCAGGCAGCCUGAAACCGGCGCGGUGAAGGGGCUCGUCGAUGGCGGCGUGCGGCGUGAAGCGACGGAGCUUGGCAUCUCCGUGCACGUCCGUUGCCUGGUAGUAGUACAUGUCCAUG